CUGUGUCACCCUGCCGGGAGCGAGGGAAGGCGCUGGCAUGGAGGGAGGAGAGGGGAAGGGACAAGGCCAUUCCAGGGCUGUUGGGCAGCAGAGGGAUGCGGGAAGGAGGAGGAGGAGGGAGCCGGGACCCCCUCCAGCAGCGGGCACGAAGCCACCAGGGAGGAAGAAGCCACCAGGCAGGAGUGCCACCAGUGCCACCACCGCCAGCACCAGGGCAGCAGAACAGCACCAAAAGAGCAGAAAGCAGCGGGCCCACUCCCCUCCAGUGCUUCAAAUCCCAGCUCCUGGGAGGAACCCUGACUCAGCCCAAAGCUCUGCACAGGGGAAUGAGGAGGAUGCAAAAAUAAACGAGGCUGUAGCACCAGCUGGCAGCAUUUUGGGUUCUGCUGGGGCAGGGGAAGGUCUCAGUGCUCAGCUGAGCCAAAGCCUCCGCUGGGAUGGGGCUCUGGAGGAUCCCCAGGCAGAGAGGGAAAGGCUGCAGGUUUAUAGGGUGAACAGGAGGAAAAGGUAUGAAUUGUAUAUCCAGGAGCACUUCCCAGCUGCCAGGAAUUCCCCACCCCUCCACGGCAGCAGCAGCAGGUAAAGGAGAUUCCUGCAGUGAUUAUUUGGAAGAGCAAAAAUUGCUGUGCCCGAAUGCUGAUUGAGGAGUUGCUGUGAACUGAAUGCUGAAGGAGCCUCUGAGCUGCACCAGGGGUGUCACCCAAAAUCCCAAUAAUUUCUGUAUCCUAACAGUGGUUCCUCAAUGUCUGUGUGGAGAAAAGGACAUUUAUAUUUUACAAAACAAACCUGGUAAAAUAUGGCUGCAACUCAGACUGCAUCAACAAUUAAAGUGCUCCUUUCUACACUGCGUUUGUGCUAAUUAUUGCUGUUGGUUUAUUUACAAAUAACACUGCUAAACUUUCCAGCUAUUCACGUUGUACACUGCAGAUUUGUGAGCAGAUGAAGGAUCAGACACCUUGUUUAGAGGCUGAAAUGAUUUCCAGGCACAUGAACUUACCUUCCUUGAAACUGAGUGAGCUGCAAAGUCAGGGUGGGAAUCCAGCCCUCACCUCCUGGCUUUUGAUCCAAUUGUUGCUUUAUUUUUGUAAUAAAAAUUCAUUAUCUCAGACCCUCAGGUGUGACAUUCUGGAGAAGCACAUGUGAAAGGCAAACAGCACAUCCAGAACAACAGGGCUUCCUUCUAACGCUAAUUAGAAGUUCAUUGGGCCAAUAUGAUUUAAAAAUCACAUGGAACAGCCUUGUACUCCCCAACUUCAAAUUUUUAUAGGAAAAAAAUGUUUUUCAUACAGAGUGUCAUGACAAUAUCUAAGGAGAACAGCCCAGCCCUCACUGCAGGAAGAUUUGAAAGUUAGGUGACAUCUGAAAGUCUCCCCGAACUCCCCUGCAAGACACUGUGCUGACUUCUCAAGUUUUUUCUUAAUGACUUUUUAAAUCGACCCUUUUAUACAGAAUUGACGUUUAUAAGUGGCUUUUCUCCUGUUUAAUACUUCAAAACUCCAGGAUACCCAAAAGCUCUGAGAGCCUUUUGCUGGAAGCAGCAGCUUUGCAGCAGCUCCACGGCUCCCCAGACCCCAAUAAUGUCAUUACAUGCAACUCUAGAGCUUCCACAAGCACAUAACCAGAUGAACAAUAAAAAAGUAAGCAAAAAAUCCCAUUAGGAAUUAAUUAACUGAUGUUCAAUUACAUCCAUUCCUGCUCUGCCAGAGUCACUAACAAAAUCAGCACGCCUGCAAAAUGUGGAAAGGUUAAAAGAACAGAUUAAGCAUCCAGAAAACCACCAGAGCAUUUCUCUCAACACAAUA